GCUGGCGGCUCCGUGUCCCCGGGGAUCCCGGGGGGGGUGACAGCGUGUGACACCCCCUCCUCUGGCUCCCCCCCGACCCCGAGACCCCCUCGGUGCUCCCCAAAAUGGGAGGGGGGGCGGGGGGGUUGUUACAUAAACAGCGCGGGCUCCAUUUCCCGCUGCCUGGCCAAGGCGCGAUGCGACGCGGAUGGGGCUGCGGGCACGGAGGUGGCGAUUUGGGGGGGUUCCGGAGCUGUGCUCCUUUUGGGGAGCUCUGUCCCUUUUGGGGGGCUCCGGAGCCGUGUCCCUGUGUCCUUCUUGGGGUUCUCUAGAGCUGCGAGCCACCACCCUGAGCAGGAGGCGAGUUGUGUUUGUUUUGGGGGGCUCUGUGCCUUUUGGGGGUCUCUAGAGCUGUGUCCCCACCCUGGGCAGGAAUGGGGCUGUGUCUGUUUGGGGAUCUCUAGAGCUGUGUGUCCGUCUGUCCCUUUUGGGGAGCUGUGUCUUUUCUUGGGGGCUCUGUGCCUUUUGGGGAGCUGUGUCCGUUUUAGGGAUCUCUAGAGCUGUGUCCUCACCGUGGGUAGGAAUCAGGCUGCGUCUGUUUUGGGGGGAUCUGUUCCUUUUGGGGGGCUCUGGAGCCGUGUCCCUGUGUCCUUCUUGGGGUUCUCUAGAGCUGCGAGCCACCACCCUGAGCAGGAGGGGAGCUGUGUUUGUUUUGGGGGGCUCUGUGCCCUUUGGGGGUCUCUAGAGCUGUGUGUCCAUCUGUCCCUUUUGGGGAGCUGUGUCUUUUCUUGGGGGCUCUGUGCCUUUUGGGGAGCUGCGUCCGUUUUGGGGGACUUUGUCCCUCUUGGGGGACUCUAGAGCUGUGUGUUCAUCUGUCCCUUUUCGGGAACUGUGUCUGUUUCAGGGGCUGUGUCCCUUUUGGGGGUCUCUAGAGCUGUGUGUCUGUCGGUCCCUUUUGGGGAGCUAUCUCUUUUUUUAGGGGGUUCUGUGCCUUUUGGGGAGCUGUGUCCAUUUUGUGGGGCCUUGUCCAUUUUGUAGGGCUCUAGACCUGUGUCCCCACCCCAAGCAGGAAUGGGGCUCUGUCCCUUUUGGGGGGCUCUGUCCCUUUAAGGGUCUCUAGAGCUGUUCCCUCACUUGGGACAGGAAUGGGCCUGAGUCUGCUUUAGGGGCUCUGUCCCUUUUUGGGGGGCUCUAUCCCUUCUGGGGG
rnacentral:lncRNA from 1 species